rnacentral:lncRNA from 1 species
GUCUAUAAACCGAAUAUCAGACUCUUGCUGGCUACCAACGACAUUGAUGAUGAGCUUAAGCUGGUUGAGACAUUCUGUCCCCGGGAAUAUCGGUUUUCGACCAAGAAUCUCCGCGAAUAUGCAUCCAACUGACCAGACAUCAAUGGAGGUUCCGUAGUUGUCACAGCAGAGAAGAAGCUCAGGUGCUCUGUACCAACGCGUGACCACAUACUCGGUCAUGAACUGUUCAUUUCCCUGGCUCGUCCUGGCUAACCCGAAGUCGCAUAUCUUUAGAUCGCAGUUAGCAUUGACUAAGAGGUUCCCUGGCUUCAAAUCUCGGUGAAGGAUGUUUGCAGAGUGAAGAUACUUCAAUCCUCUAAGCAACUAAACAAACAACAAAACAAAAACCAAUAUCACUAACUAACUAAUGAUACAUGAGACCCUGGCGAGUGACCGUGACCGCUGGGACGAAAUUAAUAUAACAUGAUUAUAGGCUUGAAACCCGAACCUCCUGGUAUUAUAAAAAAUAAGAAGAUAAUACAUGAGAAAUGUAGAGUUACAUUACCUGGAACAAGAAGUAUUUGCAGUGAUCAUCAGAAAGAGACUGAGAGGAUUUAAUGAUCUGAUGAAGAUCAGUAUCCAUCAGCUCAUAAACCAAGUAAACAUCUUUGAAACUCGAUUUAUUCGUAGGGAGCAUAACGUCUUUAAGCGCGAUCACGUUAUCAUGCCUCACGUGCCUAAGAAGCUUGAGCUCUCUCAGCGUCCUCAAGGCGUCAACGCGAUUCUCGAACACAUUGUGAAUCUUUUUGAUGGCGACCUUCUCGUUGGUCUCGCGGUUGAUGGAAGAACAAACCACACCGUAAGCUCCUCUUCCGAUGGGUUUGAUGGGAACAUACUUAGUGUCGAUUUCGAAGAGUGUUUGCCACAUGGAGUAGUAAUGUUUCCCUUGCUGUUUGAUCCCAUUUGGUGGCUCAACUAACAUCGCCAUGCUUUCUUGUCCCUAAACUCAACCAAAAACCCAAAUUCUCAUUUUCUUUUCCUUAAAUUGAGUAAAUCUUCAAAAAAGGGUUUAAAGAGAUUCUUGAUUUUCUUGAAAAGUUUCAAAUUUUUUCCUUUACUUAGCUAUCAAUCAAACUUUCAAAGUAAUUAUGACUAAACUCUUUAUCUAAUUUAAGAAAAACAAAAUUUAAGUUAAAACAAGCAAAGAAAAGAAGAUUUCGACAUACCCAGAUUGUAAUUACAGAAGCUGAAUUGUUGUUGGUUGUGUGCUUUGAUUGGUUGGUGAUCAGAGAAAGAAGAGAAGGGUAUGAUUGGAUCUGAAUUGAGAUGGGUUCUUCAUACUUAUCAAGAAGAUAUAAAAGAGAGAGAGAAGUUAAGAAGUGGUGAGACCCAUACCGGGGAAUGUUAGAGAAGAUGAAGAAGAUGAAGCAAUACGUUAUGUUUGAUGAAGAAGCCUUUCUUACUUCUUUUCUUUUUUCAGAAAAAAAAGUAAAAUAAUUUUAUUUGGAAAGUCUGAUAAUUACGAAAACGACAUUCUUUUGUAAGAUAUUUUUUUUGUUUCUCCUUUAAUAUAAAGAAAGCUUCAGUUACAAACUAUUUAAAUUCUAGAUAAAUGUAUAUCUAAAAUAGUUACAUGGACUCUCCAUAUUACACGUAAUAAUGCAAAUUAAAAAUAGGUUAUUGAAUCAAAGAAUUUAAUACUAUGUACUUUGAUUUGUAAUUAAUAAAGAAAGAGAUAGCAUUAAGUUUUAUUACAUUUUUUUACUUCAUAUAUAUAUACAUACGUACACGAAUAUGGAGACUUGAGAAGAGCGAAGGAUUGGAUCAAGCAACCGGCUAAGCACGUGGGUACAGUGGAAUAUGACACGUGGCUUACGUAUAUUGGGCAACACUCUUUUUUGUCCGAAGUUUCCACUGAAAGCUGGUGAAGUAAAACCUAACUACAAAGCCUGGAAAGUGCGUCAAGUACAACAACUCUUAGAUACUCUCUCUCGGUCAGAGGCUUUUGAAAAGGAGAUUUAAAAUGAUAAGCGUGGCUGCCGGGAUCAAUAAUACUCUCUCAUCCAAACUAUAAAAAACAUGUUUAUCUUUUAGGUCGAGUUUUUUAAUGUAAUAUAAAAAAACUUUUAGCAUGUUUAUUGUAGAUCUCUUAAAUUGAAUUUUUUAACGUAAAACAAGAUACGGUCUCUUAGCUUUUAACUAUAAAAAAUAAGAGACGUCUUUUAAUUUUUUUUAGUUAAAAGCUAAGAGACCGUAUCUUAUAUUACGCUACGAGACCCAACCUAAGAGACCUGCAAUAAACAUGCUCUUAAUACUCUACACAGAAAAACAUUAAAAUCAUCAUCCUGCAUCAACUAUAGAGAUAGAAUAUUUACCGAAUAAAUAAGUUUUGAUACAUGUGUACAUAUAUAAUCUAAUUAUGUAUAUCUAAUUAUAUAUAACAAUUGUAUCAGAACUUAAUUUUCUGUUGAGUAAAAUAAGUCUCACUUUAAACCAAAACUCAAAUCACAAAUUUAAAUCGACACAAACUAAACAGAAAAUAGUUUUAGUAAGUUUCAAGCCGGAUACUUAAAACCAAAACUAAAGGGUUUGGUUCACUCAUUAGACAUUAGAGCACCCCCAUUAGUGAACUUAUGGGAGGUUCACACAGAUUCCAAAAAAAAAAAAAUAUUAAAAUAAUGAAUAGUGAUGAACUUGUCUUUCUUCACUUCUUCCUAGUGAACCAGGUUCAUCACUGUAGCGCGGAUCUCACAGCAUGUGGCGGCCCGCGAUUGGUCCAAUUAAUUAAUUUUUUUUUUUAAAACAAAAAUCAAACAAAAAAAAUAAUAAAAAAAUACUUUGUGAACCCCUUUCAUGAGGUUCAGUAAUGGGGGUGCUAUUAUAUUCUACAUAAGUUUUUGCCUUUUCCUGCCCCUUUUACCAGCCUGCUUCUGAUUCUUCGUACUAUUCUGUUUCCCGUCACUAUCAUCUAUCUUAGUUACAACUUCGUUACAAGCAGAAACAUCCUCCUGGGCCUUGACCUUGCUUUUCUCGUCUUUCCUCUUUUCAACAAAGCUAAUUACUCCUCGGAGAACAACAUCAGUAUCAUCGUCCUGCAUCAACUCUUCAGCUAACUCAGCUGGAGUAACCUCCGUAGAAUCUAUCAGCUUCUCGAUUUUUUCACAUAGAGGAUGGUUUAAGCCAUCUAAACCAAGGUAAUUAGAAACCAAUGUCCUAAAUGCUAAGCCUGUACAAUACGACAUAUUGAUAUGCAUAUCCAUUCUUCCAGGACGUAGCAACGCAGGAUCAAGCCGGUCUUUGUGGUUUGUCGUGAACACGAUGAUUCUUUCAUCUCCAAAACUUGACCAUAACCCAUCAAUGAAGUUCAGAAUCCCUGAGAGAGUCAACUACUCAAGACAAUAUUAGUAAAGAUUAUCUCAAAUCAAAUUAAACCCAAACUUAUUCACAAUUUGUUCUUAUAAAAAAAUAUCACCUGUGUGUCUUGAUCCUCACUAUCGUCAUACUCAUCGUCCCUGCGUUUCCUCUUUCCUCUAGCUUUUCCAAUUUCUUGAUUCUCGUCUUCCCUAUCUCUCACCUCAGCAUUGCAAUCAAUAUCCUCAAUCACCAAAAUAGAACGAUUCGUGGUGGAUAACAAAAUCCUCUUCAGUUCACCAUUGUCAUAAAUAUUACUAAGAUCAAGAUCAAACACAUCGAACUUUAGGUAAUUAGCCAUGGCGGCUAUCAAGCUAGAUUUACCAGUUCCUGGUGGGCCAUACAACAAGUAACCACGUUUCCAUGCUUUACCAACUCUCUUGUAAAACUCUUUCCUCUUCAGAAACCUCUCCAAGUCAUCGAUUAUCUUCUUCUUUGCACUUGGAUCCAUCGCCAAUGUGUCGAACGUCGAAGGAUGCUCUAGACUUAUACAUCCCCAGCUCCCGCAAGAAGAACCAUCGUCGUCCCUGCUCCCAGGCACAUCUCGGCUAUAGAGAUUCACCACUCUCAGGUCCCUCUUGAUCUUUUCCGACUCCGCGAUAACGUGGUUCAAGUAAGAGUCCAAGACUCUCUCUCUCAGCUUCUUCUCGAAUGUGAGCUCGUAGUACCGUUUUACUUUCUCACUGUUCUCCUUCUCCGUCUGAACAUAUAACCACCUCACCUGGAAGUCCUCGAACGUAUCGCGGAUCGCUUCUCCUUUGGCUAUCGUGACAUUCAAGUGCUUCUGCUUCGGAGUUUUUGCAACGCGUAAACGCUCAGUCUCGGGGCCGAUCUUGGUGCGGAGGUACAUCUCCGCCGCUUCGUAGACUAGGUUUCUCUUAUACUUGGAGUUCUCGUCGAUAAUCAACGUGAGAUUCUUCGAACUCGGAGUGAAUAGUCUGCCCAGUACGUUCUCGUAGAUGUAGGAACGGAGCUGGUCCGGUACGAAAUCGUUGAGCAUCGAUCUAAAGAGCAUCGAGAAGCCACUUAGAGAUGCACACACUGAGAACAUAGACGACGGUGAGAAAGAAUUGGAUGAAGGAAACAUCUCAAGCGAUGGAGGGUUAGGAUGGCUACCAACGACGUUGAUGAUGAGCUUAAGCUGGUUGAGACAUUCCGUCCCCGGGAAUAUCGGUUUUCGACCAAGAAUCUCCGCGAAUAUGCACCCAACCGACCAGACAUCAAUGGAGGUUCCGUAGUUGUCACAGCAGAGAAGAAGCUCAGGUGCUCUGUACCAACGCGUGACCACAUACUCGGUCAUGAACUGUUCAUUUCCCUGGCUCGUUCUAGCUAACCCGAAGUCGCAUAUCUUUAGAUCGCAGUUAGCGUUGACUAAGAGGUUCCCUGGCUUCAAAUCUCGGUGAAGGAUGUUUGCAGAGUGAAGAUACUUCAGUCCUCUUAGCAACUAAACAAACAACAAAACAAAAACCAAUAUCACUAACUAACUAAUAAUACAUCAGACCCUGGCCAUUGUGUCAGAGGUCACUAGUUCGAGUGACGGCUGGGACGAAAU